AGAGUUUGAUCCUGGCUCAGGAUGAACGCUAGCUACAGGCUUAACACAUGCAAGUCGAGGGGCAGCAUGAAGAGAACUUCGGUUCUUUUUGAUGGCGACCGGCGCACGGGUGCGUAACGCGUAUCGAACCUGCCUCAUACUCGGGGAUAGCCUUGCGAAAGUAAGAUUAAUACCCGGCGGUCUCGGAUGGCCGCAUGACUAUCCGAGUGAAGAUUUAUCGGUAUGAGAUGGCGAUGCGUCCCAUUAGCUAGUUGGUGAGGUAAUGGCUCACCAAGGCAUCGAUGGGUAGGGGUUCUGAGAGGAAGGUCCCCCACAUUGGAACUGAGACACGGUCCAAACUCCUACGGGAGGCAGCAGUGAGGAAUAUUGGUCAAUGGACGAGAGUCUGAACCAGCCAAGUAGCGUGCAGGAUGACGGCCCUAUGGGUUGUAAACUGCUUUUAUAAGGGAAUAAAGUGAGUCUCGUGAGACUUUUUGCAUGUACCUUAUGAAUAAGGACCGGCUAAUUCCGUGCCAGCAGCCGCGGUAAUACGGAAGGUCCAGGCGUUAUCCGGAUUUAUUGGGUUUAAAGGGAGCGCAGGCGGCGGCGUAAGUCAGUUGUGAAAUCGUGCGGCUUAACCGUGCAAUUGCAGUUGAUACUGCGUCGCUUGAGUGCACACAGGGAUGUUGGAAUUCAUGGUGUAGCGGUGAAAUGCUUAGAUAUCAUGAAGAACUCCGAUCGCGAAGGCAUAUGUCCGGAGUGCAACUGACGCUGAGGCUCGAAAGUGUGGGUAUCAAACAGGAUUAGAUACCCUGGUAGUCCACACAGUAAACGAUGAAUACUCGCUGUUUGCGAUAUACAGUAAGCGGCCAAGCGAAAGCGUUAAGUAUUCCACCUGGGGAGUACGCCGGCAACGGUGAAACUCAAAGGAAUUGACGGGGGCCCGCACAAGCGGAGGAACAUGUGGUUUAAUUCGAUGAUACGCGAGGAACCUUACCCGGGCUUGAAUUGCAGAUGACGGAUCCAGAGAUGGUGACUUCCUUCGGGACAUCUGUGAAGGUGCUGCAUGGUUGUCGUCAGCUCGUGCCGUGAGGUGUCGGCUUAAGUGCCAUAACGAGCGCAACCCUUGUUCGUAGUUGCCAUCGGUUAAAGCCGGGCACUCUGCGAAGACUGCCUCCGUAAGGAGUGAGGAAGGUGGGGAUGACGUCAAAUCAGCACGGCCCUUACGUCCGGGGCUACACACGUGUUACAAUGGGGGGUACAGAGCGUUGCUUUCACGCGAGUGAUUGCGGACCGCAAAAACCCUUCUCAGUUCGGACUGGAGUCUGCAACCCGACUCCACGAAGCUGGAUUCGCUAGUAAUCGCGCAUCAGCCAUGGCGCGGUGAAUACGUUCCCGGGCCUUGUACACACCGCCCGUCAAGCCAUGAAAGCCGGGGGUACCUGAAGUGCGUAACCGCAAGGAGCGCCCUAGGGUAAAACUGGUGAUUGGGGCUAAGUCGUAACAAGGUAGCCGUACCGGAAGGUGCGGCUG
rnacentral:rRNA from 1 species